AAUUUGAAAUCUGGCGUCUUUGGCGUCCGAGUUGUAAUUUGAAGAAGGUAUCUUUGGGCCCGGCUCUUGUCUAUGUUCCUUGGAACAGGACGUCACAGAGGGUGAGAAUCCCGUGCGAUGAGAUGGCCCGGGUCUAUGUAAAGUUCCUUCGACGAGUCGAGUUGUUUGGGAAUGCAGCUCUAAGUGGGUGGUAAAUUCCAUCUAAAGCUAAAUAUUGGCGAGAGACCGAUAGCGAACAAGUACAGUGAUGGAAAGAUGAAAAGAACUUUGAAAAGAGAGUGAAAAAGUACGUGAAAUUGUUGAAAGGGAAGGGCUUGAGAUCAGACUUGGUAUUUUGCAAGUUACUCUUUCGGGGGUGGCCUCUGCGGUUUACCGGGCCAGCAUCGGUUUGGAGCGGUAGGAUAAUGGCGGGGGAAUGUGGCACGACUUUGGUUGUGUGUUAUAGCCUCUGACGAUACUGCCAGCCUAGACCGAGGACUGCGGUUUUUACCUAGGAUGUUG
rnacentral:rRNA from 1 species